CUCUGGUUGUGGUUUUGGGGUUUUCUCUGUGGCCGCUGAAAGAGACGGAAGCAGAAACAGAAAUUUAUCUUCAGAGUCCUCAAAGCCUCCUCCAACCGUCUGGAUUCAAACCAAAUGUGUCUGUCCACUGCACGAUAACAACGAUUUCCAGUUCUCAUCCCAAGUAGCCACCCGGUUUCCUACAGAUGGUUGAAAGAGUCUUUGUGGUGAUUCGGAUUACCACGCCAAGUGUUUUCCAACAUGACUGUGUGUUUUAGAGGAGAUUGUGGCUUCUCCUCUGACCCAACCUACGCUGGUAUUGUGAUUUGUGGACCAGGAGGCCGGUCAUUAGUGUCACUUUGUGAACUCACCUUUAAACACGACAAACAGGAAGACAGUCAAGGAAACCAAAUGAAUCUGGAAAAAAAGGAAAAAAGAGGAAGAGGAGGUGAAAUGCCGUUGUUGAAAGAGGAAGGCCUGGCAGGCAUCUAUGUCUCUGACUGCAGCUUUAACACAACCUGUGGCUUUG